rnacentral:rRNA from 1 species
GGUUAAGUUAGAAAGGGCGCACGGUGGAUGCCUUGACACUAGGAGUCGAUGAAGGACGGGACUAACGCCGAUAUGCUUCGGGGAGCUGUAAGUAAGCUUUGAUCCGAAGAUUUCCGAAUGGGGAAACCCACCAUACGUAAUGGUAUGUUAUCCUUAUCUGAAUACAUAGGGUAAGGAAGACAGACCCAGGGAACUGAAACAUCUAAGUACCUGGAGGAAGAGAAAGCAAAUGCGAUUUCCUGAGUAGCGGCGAGCGAAACGGAACAUAGCCCAAACCAAGAGGCUUGCCUCUUGGGGUUGUAGGACAUUCUAUACGGAGUUACAAAGGAACGAGGUAGACGAAGCGACCUGGAAAGGUCCGUCGUAGAGGGUAACAACCCCGUAGUCGAAACUUCGUUCUCUCUUGAAUGUAUCCUGAGUACGGCGGAACACGUGAAAUUCCGUCGGAAUCUGGGAGGACCAUCUCCCAAGGCUAAAUACUCCCUAGUGAUCGAUAGUGAACCAGUACCGUGAGGGAAAGGUGAAAAGCACCCCGGAAGGGGAGUGAAAGAGAUCCUGAAACCGUGUGCCUACAAAUAGUCAGAGCCCGUUAACGGGUGAUGGCGUGCCUUUUGUAGAAUGAACCGGCGAGUUACGAUCCCGUGCGAGGUUAAGCUGAAGAGGCGGAGCCGCAGCGAAAGCGAGUCUGAAUAGGGCGUUUAGUACGUGGUCGUAGACCCGAAACCAGGUGAUCUACCCAUGUCCAGGGUGAAGUUCAGGUAACACUGAAUGGAGGCCCGAACCCACGCACGUUGAAAAGUGCGGGGAUGAGGUGUGGGUAGCGGAGAAAUUCCAAUCGAACCUGGAGAUAGCUGGUUCUCCCCGAAAUAGCUUUAGGGCUAGCCUUAAGUGUAAGAGUCUUGGAGGUAGAGCACUGAUUGGACUAGGGGUCCUCAUCGGAUUACCGAAUUCAGUCAAACUCCGAAUGCCAAUGACUUAUCCUUAGGAGUCAGACUGCGAGUGAUAAGAUCCGUAGUCAAAAGGGAAACAGCCCAGACCGCCAGCUAAGGUCCCAAAGUGUGUAUUAAGUGGAAAAGGAUGUGGAGUUGCUUAGACAACUAGGAUGUUGGCUUAGAAGCAGCCACCAUUUAAAGAGUGCGUAAUAGCUCACUAGUCGAGUGACUCUGCGCCGAAAAUGUACCGGGGCUAAAUACACCACCGAAGCUGCGGAUUGAUACCGAAUGGUAUCAGUGGUAGGGGAGCGUUCUAAGGACAGUGAAGUCAGACCGUAAGGACUGGUGGAGUGCUUAGAAGUGAGAAUGCCGGUAUGAGUAGCGAAAGACGGGUGAGAAUCCCGUCCACCGAAUGCCUAAGGUUUCCUGAGGAAGGCUCGUCCGCUCAGGGUUAGUCAGGACCUAAGCCGAGGCCGACAGGCGUAGGCGAUGGACAACAGGUUGAUAUUCCUGUACCACCUCUUUAUCGUUUGAGCAAUGGAGGGACGCAGAAGGAUAGAAGAAGCGUGCGAUUGGUUGUGCACGUCCAAGCAGUUAGGCUGAUAAGUAGGCAAAUCCGCUUAUCGUGAAGGCUGAGCUGUGAUGGGGAAGCUCCUUAUGGAGCGAAGUCUUUGAUUCCCCGCUGCCAAGAAAAGCUUCUAGCGAGAUAAAAGGUGCCUGUACCGCAAACCGACACAGGUAGGCGAGGAGAGAAUCCUAAGGUGUGCGAGAGAACUCUGGUUAAGGAACUCGGCAAAAUGACCCCGUAACUUCGGGAGAAGGGGUGCUUUCUUAACGGAAAGCCGCAGUGAAUAGGCCCAAGCGACUGUUUAGCAAAAACACAGCUCUCUGCGAAGCCGUAAGGCGAAGUAUAGGGGGUGACACCUGCCCGGUGCUGGAAGGUUAAGGAGAGGGGUUAGCGUAAGCGAAGCUCUGAACUGAAGCCCCAGUAAACGGCGGCCGUAACUAUAACGGUCCUAAGGUAGCGAAAUUCCUUGUCGGGUAAGUUCCGACCCGCACGAAAGGUGUAACGAUUUGGGCACUGUCUCAACCAGAGACUCGGUGAAAUUAUAGUACCUGUGAAGAUGCAGGUUACCCGCGACAGGACGGAAAGACCCCGUGGAGCUUUACUGUAGCCUGAUAUUGAAUUUUGGUACAGUUUGUACAGGAUAGGCGGGAGCCAUUGAAACCGGAGCGCUAGCUUCGGUGGAGGCGCUGGUGGGAUACCGCCCUGACUGUAUUGAAAUUCUAACCUACGGGUCUUAUCGACCCGGGAGACAGUGUCAGGUGGGCAGUUUGACUGGGGCGGUCGCCUCCUAAAGUGUAACGGAGGCGCCCAAAGGUUCCCUCAGAAUGGUUGGAAAUCAUUCGUAGAGUGCAAAGGCAUAAGGGAGCUUGACUGCGAGACCUACAAGUCGAGCAGGGACGAAAGUCGGGCUUAGUGAUCCGGUGGUUCCGCAUGGAAGGGCCAUCGCUCAACGGAUAAAAGCUACCCCGGGGAUAACAGGCUUAUCUCCCCCAAGAGUCCACAUCGACGGGGAGGUUUGGCACCUCGAUGUCGGCUCAUCGCAUCCUGGGGCUGUAGUCGGUCCCAAGGGUUGGGCUGUUCGCCCAUUAAAGCGGUACGCGAGCUGGGUUCAGAACGUCGUGAGACAGUUCGGUCCCUAUCCGUCGUGGGCGUAGGAAAUUUGAGAGGAGCUGUCCUUAGUACGAGAGGACCGGGAUGGACGCACCGCUGGUGUACCAGUUGUUCUGCCAAGGGCAUAGCUGGGUAGCUAUGUGCGGAAGGGAUAAGUGCUGAAAGCAUCUAAGCAUGAAGCCCCCCUCAAGAUGAGAUUUCCCAUAGCGUAAGCUAGUAAGAUCCCUGAAAGAUGAUCAGGUUGAUAGGUUCGAGGUGGAAGCAUGGUGACAUGUGGAGCUGACGAAUACUAAUAGAUCGAGGACUUAACCAUAUA